AACGAACGCUGGCGGCAGGCUUAACACAUGCAAGUCGAACGCUCGGAGCGAUCCGGGAGUGGCGGACGGGUGAGUAACGCGUGGGAACGUGCCCUGAGGUUGGGAAUAACUGCGGGAAACUGCAGCUAAUACCUGAUGAGCCCGAGCAAUCGGGGAAAGAUUUAUCGCCUUGGGAGCGGCCCGCGUCGGAUUAGCUAGUUGGUGGGGUAACGGCCUACCAAGGCUUCGAUCCGUAGCUGGUCUGAGAGGACGAUCAGCCACACUGGGACUGAGACACGGCCCAGACUCCUACGGGAGGCAGCAGUGGGGAAUCUUGCGCAAUGGGGGGCAACCCUGACGCAGCCAUGCCGCGUGAAUGAUGAAGGCCUUAGGGUUGUAAAGUUCUUUUGCCCGUGACGAUGAUGACGGUAACGGGAGAAUAAGCUCCGGCUAAACUUCGUGCCAGC
rnacentral:rRNA from 1 species